UAAGGAACUUGGGGUGACUUUAUGAAACAUGGAGCCAUAAAGGAAAUGUUGGCCUGAUACCUUGCUUACAGAGCUCCCAGCAGCCUCACCAGGUGAAUAAAGAAGGUCACUUCCUGGCAGGUGCAAGAACCUAAGGAUACCUUGGGGACCUGGUGAAGAGGAAUUCGCCCAAUUCUACAGGAUGGGUCAAAGCCUUCCCAACAAGGAUGGAAUGAAGUCAUGAGGUGGCCAAAGCUCUUCUACAGGAAAUCGUGCCUUGAUUUGGUCUGCUCCUAACCAUACCCAGUGACAACGGACCUGCAUUUGUAGCGGACAUUAUGCAAAGCCUGACCAGGUCCCUCAACAUUACCUGGAAACUGCAACAUUCAUCUUAGCCCUCUGAAGGUACCAACCCCUAGAGCUAAAGGGUGAUGCCUACUGAAACAGAUUUUUUUUGUUAAAAAAGGCAUCAAAGGGGGGAAUGUUGGGAAAAUAAGUAAAGUUCUGCACCAUAAGAUGGCCGAUGGGACUAACAUAAGCUCUAGUUCUUAGCUUAGAGACUCCUCUUCCAGGUUCUUCCUGCUCUGUUUGCCAUGCGUGUACAAGCCACCAUGAAUGCAGAAGAGAUAACGCUAUAAAUUAUCUUUCCUACUUGCGUUCGGGGCUCAGAUCUCUGGAGAAGGAUCUUCUCUGAGCCCACUGGUGUAAAAUAAAACGCCGAUGCACCAACA